UAUAAGGUCGAUCUUCUUUUAUGAGCAAGUUAUCGUUAUUGGUUUAAUCUUAAGUUUUAUCUUCUUGUUACUUGUGCAAGUAAUGCUUGGAUACUGGUUUUAAGUCUUACAGAAGAUUAAAAGGGUUGCCCAGUGACUCUAUGCUUUUACUACUCUAGAAAAGUAUUUAUUUAAUUUCGACAAGAAUUUAAAUUCUGUUCAGAUUAAAAUGAUACUUGAUCAGCAAGAAACUGUUUAGUACGAAACUUGAUUUAAAUUUGGUGGCUGUAGGCUUGUAAUAGCCAUCCAAUAACAUAUGUCCCAUUAUAUGACACACUUGGUAUGUUUUUCACUCAUUUUCUCAUUAAUUUUUAGAUGCUUUUUAUUAUUCCAAACAUUUUCCUAAUAAUUCUUGAGGUACCUAAGAACAGGUCCAAAUGCAUUGGAGUUUAUCAUAAACCAUGCUCAAGUUUCGAUAGCAUUUGUACAGAAAAACAAGAUUCUUUCUCUAUUGUGAGUUUUGGUAAUGUUUCGACCGCUUCUCUUGGGAAGAGUUUCUCCAGUUGGGGACCUACCACCAAAAAAGAAGACUGACAUUUGCACAAUCAUGUACACAAGUGGAACCACAUGCAAACUGAAAGGUGUCAUAAUUAAGAAUGAGGCUUUCACGGCAAAGUUUUGUCUUUUGAUCAAAUACUUCAUUUAACAGACAAAGCAGCAAGCAAAGAUGAUGUGUACUUCUCUUUUCUUCCUCUUGCUCAUGUCUAUGACCAGAUAAUGGAGACCUAUUGCAUUUAUAGGGGAGCCUCAAUUGGAUUCUGGCAAGGCAUAAGAUUCGGAUUUAGUUUUCAUCAUUACUAUUUUGCUCUUUCUUGUAUGUCUCAUUUUGAUGCUUCAUUCCAUGUUAAUUGUUUUAGGAUGUGAGGUACUUAAUAGAGGAUGUUCAGGUGUUGAAGCCAGCUAUAUUUUGUGGCGUUCCUAGAGUUUUCGACCGUGUUUAUGCUGGUAUCAACAGCAAAAUUUCAUCUAGAUGAGCAUUUGGAAGUGCAUUGUUUCAGUAUGCAUAUAAUUAGUACGUUUGCCACUAAACAAUUCUAUUUUAGACCCUUAAUUUCCAAUAUCAUGCAAAGUAAUUAGUCUAGAUUCUGAUGACAGCAAGUUAGGAUACUUAGAGAAGGGUCUUCCAUAAGACAAAGCAACACCAUGUUUUGAUAGGCUUGUAUUUGAUAAG